AGUGAACGCUGGCGGUAGGCCUAACACAUGCAAGUCGAACGGCAGCACAGUAAGUUCUUGCUCUUACGGGUGGCGAGUGGCGGACGGGUGAGGAAUACAUCGGAAUCUACUUUUUCGUGGGGGAUAACGUAGGGAAACUUACGCUAAUACCGCAUACGACCUACGGGUGAAAGCAGGGGAUCUUCGGACCUUGCGCGAUUGAAUGAGCCGAUGUCGGAUUAGCUAGUUGGCGGGGUAAAGGCCCACCAAGGCGACGAUCCGUAGCUGGUCUGAGAGGAUGAUCAGCGACACUGGAACUGAGACACGGUCCAGACUCCUACGGGAGGCAGCAGUGGGGAAUAUUGGACAAUGGGCGCAAGCCUGAUCCAGCCAUACCGCGUGGGUGAAGAAGGCCUUCGGGUUGUAAAGACCUUUUGUUGGGAAAGAAAAGCAGCAGGUUAAUACGCCGCUGAUCUGACGGUACCCAAAGAAUAAGCACCGGCUAACUUCGUG
rnacentral:rRNA from 1 species